GGAUGUGAGGGAGAUCUGGCUGCGACAUCUGUCACCCCAUUGAUCACCAGGGUUGAUUCCGCUGAUCUGGCUGGCUAGGCGGGUGUCCCCUUCCUCCCUCACCGCUCCAUGUGCGUCCCUCCCGAAGCUGCGCACUUGGUCGAAGAUGACUACCAUCCCCGGUAGAGGACGGGUCUUGGGUCAAGGGUAUACGAGUAGCUGCGCUCCCCUGCUAGAACCUCCAAAUAAGCUCUCAAGAAUACAGAAAGAAAAGAUAUUCCUUAAUGACAAAAUUAAGUGGCUCCAUCAGCCAAUCUCUAAACUU
ensembl:misc_RNA 7SK 7SK RNA